rnacentral:rRNA from 1 species
UACAGAGGUCCCGAGCGUUGUUCGGAUUCAUUGGGCGUAAAGGGUGCGUAGGCGGCGGGGCAAGUCUGAUGUGAAAUCCCGGGGCUCAACCCCGGAACUGCAUUGGAUACUGCCUUGCUCGAGUACUGGAGAGGGAACUGGAAUUUACGGUGUAGCAGUGAAAUGCGUAGAGAUCGUAAGGAAGGCCGGUGGCGAAGGCAGCUCGCUGGGACGUUACUGACGCUGAGACGCGAAAGCGUGGGGAGCAAACAGG